rnacentral:rRNA from 1 species
GACGAACGCUGGCGGCGUGCUUAACACAUGCCAGUCGAACGGAAAGGCCCUGCUUUUGUGGGGUGCUCGAGUGGCGAACGGGUGAGUAACACGUGAGUAACCUGCCCUUGACUUUGGGAUAACUUCAGGAAACUGGGGCUAAUACCGGAUAGGAGCUCCUGCUGCAUGGUGGGGGUUGGAAAGUUUCGGCGGUUGGGGAUGGACUCGCGGCUUAUCAGCUUGUUGGUGGGGUAGUGGCUUACCAAGGCUUUGACGGUUAGCCGGCCUGAGAGGGUGACCGGCCACAUUGGGACUGAGAUACGGCCCAGACUCCUACGGGAGGCAGCAGUGGGGAAUAUUGCACAAUGGGCGGAAGCCUGAUGCAGCAACGCCGCGUGCGGGAUGACGGCCUUCGGGUUGUAAACCGCUUUCGCCUGUGACGAAGCGUGAGUGACGGUAAUGGGUAAAGAAGCACCGGCUAACUACGUG